rnacentral:lncRNA from 1 species
GGGGAGGAUUCUGGCCUGGCCCUACCCUGCUCCAUUAGUGGAGGCGGAUUCCGGGACACCAUAAGGCCACUCCCAGGAAAUUUGAUGCUUCCAAAAUGGCUCAGAACCAUUCACAAGAGAAAAGAGAAUGCAUACAGUCCACCUUAAAACAUCUCCUGCCACAGGGGAUUAUUUUGGGAUGGCACAAUGCUGCACCCAAAGUGGAGGCAUCUUCCUGGCCACCAAACCACCACUCCCAGAUAAUAGGUUGCUUCCAAAAUGGCUCAGAACAGCUCACAGGAAAAAAGAGAAUGCAUUCGUUCUAUGUUACCAAAUUGCUGCAAUGGGGGUAGAUUCGGGCAUGGCACUAUGCUGCUCCCAUACUUGAGGCAGACUCUGGGCCAAGGUACUGAUGAGCACAGCUAAUGGGAUGCUUCUGAAAUGGCUCAGAACCACUCACAGGAAAAAAGAGAAUGUUUUCCAUCCAUCUUACCACAUCUACUGCCACCUGGGAAUAUUUUG